GAUGAACGCUAGCGGCAGGCCUAACACAUGCAAGUCGAGGGGGAGGUUACUUUCGGGUAACUGAGACCGGCGUACGGGUGCGUAACGCGUAUACAGUCUGCCUUUCACUGGGGGAUAGCCCGAAGAAAUUUGGAUUAAUACCCCAUAGUAUAGUAAUACGGCAUCGUGAUGCUCUUAAAGCUUAGGUGGUGAAAGAUGAGUAUGCGUUCUAUUAGCUAGUUGGAGAGGUAACGGCUCCCCAAGGCGAUGAUAGAUAGGGGUUCUGAGAGGGAUGUCCCCCAGACGGGUACUGAGAUACGGACCAGACUCCUACGGGAGGGAGCAGUGAGGAAUAUUGGACAAUGGUCGGAAGACUGAUCCAGCCAUGCCGCGUGCAGGAGGAAGGUCUUAUGGAUUGUAAACUGCUUUUGUAAGGGAAGAAUAAGGGCUACGCGUAGUUUGAUGACGGUACCUUACGAAUAAGCAUCGGCUAACUCCGUG
rnacentral:rRNA from 1 species